rnacentral:rRNA from 1 species
CCUACGGGAGGCAGCAGUGGGGAAUAUUGCACAAUGGGGGAAACCCUGAUGCAGCGACGCCGCGUGAAGGAAGGAGUAUUUCGGUAGGUAAACUUCUAUCAGCAGGGAAGAAAAUUACGGUACCUUACUAAGAAGCCCCUGCUAACUACGUGCGAGCAGCCGCGGUAAUACGUAGGGGGCAAGCUUUAUCCGGAGUUACUGGGUGUAAGGGGAUCGUAGGCGGUUUAGCAGGUCACAAGUGAAAGCCCGGGCCUAAACUCCGGAACUGCUUUUGAAACGGUUGAACUAGAUUGCAGGAGCGGUAAGUGGAAUUUCUAGUGUAGCGGUGAAAUGCGUAGAUAUUA